rnacentral:rRNA from 1 species
GUCCACGCCGUAAACGAUGGGUGCUAGACGUUGGGGAGCUUGCUCCCCGGUGUCGUAGCUAACGCGUGAAGCACCCCGCCUGGGGAGUACGGCCGCAAGGUUAAAACUCAAAGGAAUUGACGGGGGCCCGCACAAGCGGUGGAGCAUGUGGUUUAAUUCGACGCAACGCGAAGAACCUUACCACCCCUUGACAUGGGAAGUAUGGGUUCCUGAAAGGGAAUCCUUCAGUUCGGCUGGCUUCCACACAGGUGCUGCAUGGCUGUCGU